AUUGAACGCUGGCGGCGUGCCUAACACAUGCAAGUCGAGCGGUAACAGGUGUAGCAAUACAUGCUGACGAGCGGCGGACGGGUGAGUAACGCUUGGGAAUCUGCCUAUUAGUGGGGGACAACCCGGGGAAACGUCGGGCUAAUACCGCAUACGCUCUACGGAGGAAAGCCGGGGACCGCAAGGCCUGGCGCUAAUAGAUGAGCCCAAGUCGGAUUAGCUAGUUGGUAGGGUAANGGCCUACCAAGGCGACGAUCCGUAACUGGUCUGAGAGGACGACCAGUCACACCGGAACUGAGACACGGUCCGGACUCCUACGGGAGGCAGCAGUGGGGAAUAUUGGACAAUGGGCGAAAGCCUGAUCCAGCGACGCCGCGUGGGUGAAGAAGGCCUGCGGGUUGUAAAGCCCUUUCAGUGGGG
rnacentral:rRNA from 1 species